AUUGAACGCUGGCGGCGGGCCUAACACAUGCAAGUCGAGCGGCAGCGGAAAGUAGCUUGCUACUUUGCCGGCGAGCGGCGGACGGGUGAGUAAUGUCUGGGAAACUGCCUGAUGGAGGGGGAUAACUACUGGAAACGGUAGCUAAUACCGCAUAACGUCGCAAGACCAAAGAGGGGGACCUUCGGGCCUCUUGCCAUCAGAUGUGCCCAGAUGGGAUUAGCUAGUAGGUGGGGUAACGGCUCACCUAGGCGACGAUCCCUAGCUGGUCUGAGAGGAUGACCAGCCACACUGGAACUGAGACACGGUCCAGACUCCUACGGGAGGCAGCAGUGGGGAAUAUUGCACAAUGGGCGCAAGCCUGAUGCAGCCAUGCCGCGUGUAUGAAGAAGGCCUUCGGGUUGUAAAGCACUUUCAGCGGGGAGGAAGGUGUUGAGGUUAAUAACCUCAGCAAUUGACGUUACCCGCAGAAGAAGCACCGGCUAACUCCGUGCCAGCCGCCGCGGUAAGAC
rnacentral:rRNA from 1 species